AAUGCUAGCUAGUGGGAGAUGAGAGAUAACCUAAAAAGGUGACAAAAGCAGCAAUCCCCCUACUCUCUACAAAAACUCUCUACUGUUGCCUCCAAGAAGAUUGCUGUGGAGGCAUUCCAUCAUCAUUUCAAGGUACUGUGAGGUUUACCAUUUCCAGAACUGACAGUCAGACUUGCAUGUCACUCAAAUGUUCCUCAUACGCCAGAAGUAGUUCUGUGGCAAUUGGUUAGGGCUGUGAGUACAUGUGAGGGGCUUUCUCAAGUAGUCUUUCUAGGUUGUCCUCUUUGUCUGGCCCCACACUGAGAUGAACAAGGUGGUUAGAAAGGGUGGUCAGCUAAACACCCCACUUGUUCAUUUUUUGGUUUAUUUGUCAGGGACCAUGUAUGUGCAAAAAC
ensembl:lncRNA